rnacentral:rRNA from 1 species
GACGAACGCUGGCGGCGUGCUUAACACAUGCGAGUCGAACGGAAAGGCCCUGCUUUUGUGGGGUGCUCGAGUGGCGAACGGGUGAGUAACACGUGAGUAACCUGCCCUUGACUUUGGGAUAACUUCAGGAAACUGGGGCUAAUACCGGAUAGGAGCUCCUGCUGCAUGGUGGGGGUUGGAAAGUUUCGGCGGUUGGGGAUGGACUCGCGGCUUAUCAGCUUGUUGGUGGGGUAGUGGCUUACCAAGGCUUUGACGGGUAGCCGGCCUGAGGGGGUGACCGGCCACAUUGGGACUGAGAUACGGCCCAGACUCCUACGGGAGGCAGCAGUGGGGAAUAUUGCACAAUGGGCGGAAGCCGGAUGCAGCAACGCCGCGUGCGGGAUGACGGCCUUCGGGUUGUAAACCGCUUUCGCCUGUGACGAAGCGUGAGGGACGGUAAUGGGUAAAGAAGCACCGGCUAACUAAGU